GAGAUGAUGAUGGAGCUGAGAUCUGGUGUGAAGCAAAACUAAACUUGUGGCCAGGAGAACAAGGUCCUGCCAUGAUGCGCUCAAAGUCACAUAGUGUGACUGUACUCAGGGCUCGAACAACCUUCGGAGUCAUGCUGGCAAUAGAUGUGGCCGUUGGAGUUUUGCUCCUCAUUGCUGUUGCAUAUUAUGUGACACCCAAUGGCACAAUCUCUUUCCACAAUUGUGGCUAUCAACCAGGAACUCCCUCAGGAUGAGUAUAAGCAAAUCCUGAAAGAGAAUAUGCAGCCCUGAACCUCAAGCAUGAUUGGAUUGUGCAGCAAACCCAGAACAGACCAGCAUGUCCA